CUUGUGAGACCUCCGGCUACAACAGAGGACACAGGAGCUUUUCAGAACCCUCGUGUCUUGUGUUGCAGCCAGAGGAGCACA
rfam:Ornithorhynchus anatinus chromosome X3, whole genome shotgun sequence.